UCUGACAACCCUAGAGAUAGGGCUUCUCCUUCGGGAGCAGAGUGACAGGUGGUGCAUGGUUGUCGUCAGCUCGUGUCGUGAGAUGUUGGGUUAAGUCCCGCAACGAGCGCAACCCUUGAUCUUAGUUGCCAUCAUUUAGUUGGGCACUCUAAGGUGACUGCCGGUGACAAACCGGAGGAAGGUGGGGAUGACGUCAAAUCAUCAUGCCCCUUAUGACCUGGGCUACACACGUGCUACAAUGGACGGUACAAAGAGCUGCAAGACCGCGAGGUGGAGCUAAUCUCAUAAAACCGUUCUCAGUUCGGAUUGUAGGCUGCAACUCGCCUACAUGAAGCUGGAAUCGCUAGUAAUCGCGGAUCAGCAUGCCGCGGUGAAUACGUUCCCGGGCCUUGUACACACCGCCCGUCACACCACGAGAGUUUGUAACACCCGAAGUCGGUGGGGUAACCUUUUUGGAGCCAGCCGCCUAAGGUGGGACAGAUGAUUGGGGUGAAGUCGUAACAAGGUAGCCGUAUCGGAAGGUGCGGCUGGAUCACCUCCUUUCUAUGGA
rnacentral:rRNA from 1 species